CUUGACAGGAUGCGUUGGUUUGCUGUUCUAGGCCUUGAAAUGAUCCUCCUGGGCUUUAUCGUACUAUUAAGAUGGACGGAUAUUAAACUUAGCUUGUGUGUUUAGGGAAAGGAGCAAAGGUAAAUAUUUGACACCUAUUUAUCUAGGCCUGGGAUUCACAAAGAGUUUUGUGACUCAUUUGGGUUCCAUUCUAGCUUACCGGACUUUGGGAUUCCAUUCCAAGGUUUGAGGUCAAACGCCAGCAAUAAAAUGUGUGUAUUUGCUGGUCUUCUCCAAGGACCUUUUCCAUCUUAGUAUGGGAAAGCCGGGAGACUUUCUGUUAAAGACUCCAGAUUCUCGGCCAAAUCCCACCUCCCUGGCUAUAAUGAAAUGUGGCGAACGAGGAGCUACUUCAUCAGAGAAGAGGACUGAUUUACCAAAACAACACUGCAACUGAGCUGGAAAAAGGAGAAAAGGGGUGAAGUCAUUACAAACAGAGGGGACGGACAUGGUGAUUAAAAU
rnacentral:lncRNA from 1 species